rnacentral:rRNA from 1 species
CGACGACGAUGCGUAGGGGUUCUGAGAGGAAGGCCCCCCACACUGGGACUGAGACACGGCCCAGACUCCUACGGAAGGCAGCAG